GCCUGAACAUAAAAUAUUCGAGACCUUCCAAAUAAUUGGUCGCAAAUACUAUUAAAUAAUACAUACAUAAUUUUAAAAACACCUGGCACGAUGCCUUGAAGGAAUGCCGUGGAGUGGGUGCCCAUUUGGCGAGUCUGCAAAGCGAAGAUGAGGUAAAGGCAUUCCGCAGUAUCCUGAAUCAGUUCGCAAAGUAUUGGAUAUAUCUGAACGGUCAAGAAAUGGUAGGAAAAUCGAAUUCUUCCACUACGGGUGUCAUAGGAACCGAUGGUGACUUGCAGAAAGUCAAUCCCCAUCAUGACUACGGGAACUUUGGACAAUGCGUCGUGCUUCAGAGCUGUGGGUACGAGGUUCAACGACCAUGAAUCAAUUAUAUAAGGGCUCUGCGCUGUAAGUGUGAGUGAAACGACUAGGGAGUGUGCUGAUUAACCCUUUGAUGGCAUGGGGUUAAAAAUUGACCAUUGCAAGAAAAGGAGUUGAAGUUUUCUUUUAUAUUUUGACUUUUAAUACUUUACUACUUGAAGUGGUCGUUACUAUUGUUUUUGAAUAUAUACCUCUGUUCUGAGGCUCUUACUUAAAAUAAAUUGCAACUUUCUUGCUGCAAAAAAUAAUAUAUCGUACUGUGCGUGUGUAGGGAAGGGUCCUUCCGCGUCGACAAGCAAACAAGCACUGAACUCAAAGGGAAAUGAUACGAUGAAAGCUGCCGACGACGGGCCCUCCUUAUAUAAUUGUUUCAUGGCAACGACAUGACAUCCAAUUGUCUGAGAGGCGAACUUUGAUUUGCGAAUCGAAAAAUUCAAUAAAAACAACAAAGAAUAAACGACUUACUUUCCGUGUGUUUGAGAAUUGAUCAUUUAAGUUGGGCUGAAAAUCCCGGCGGUACUGCAAUACCGGGCCAACCCGCGACAGAGGUGGAGCAAGCCCCUAGCACUCCGUCUGAUUCCAAAAAUCAGUUUAACAUUUGUUGUUCUCCAAUGGAGAAACUAUCAGAUGUUAAGCUGAUAAGAACAGAUACUACACUUUGAUCUUAGCCAUAAGGCCGAGAAGCGAUAACCUAAACGUGGAAAACAACCACCACCUGAUGA
rnacentral:lncRNA from 1 species